ACACGAACAGAACAUCGGGGGAGGACACAGUGAAGGGGGCUGUAUCGUACAUGUAGAUUUGAUUGUUUUUAUCGACAGAGCUUCCGAGAGCUGGACUACGUUGUGUCUCUUCACCGUCUGACAACU